rfam:Ornithorhynchus anatinus chromosome 1, whole genome shotgun sequence.
UCCUUCUCAGGGUCGCACAUGGAGAGUUUCCAGUAUUCUACCAGUCUUGGCUACAGGAGGGAGAGUCAGGCAGGGGCCUAUCUAUUCCAUUCCUAGCUUGGGCAGUGGCCGGUGAGUGGAAGGUAAUCUGCUACAAGU